rnacentral:rRNA from 2 species
GACGGAGGAUGCAAGUGUUAUCCGGAAUCACUGGGCGUAAAGCGUCUGUAGGUGGUUUAAAAAGUCUACUGUUAAAAAUUGAAGCUUAACUUCAAAGAUGCCGUAGAAACUUUUAAACUUGAGGAUGGUAGGGGUAGAGGGAAUUUCCAGUGGAGCGGUGAAAUGCGUAGAUCUUGGAAAGACCACCAAUGGCGAAGGCACUCUACUGGGCCAUGACUGACACUAAGAGACGAAAGCUAGGGGAGCAAAUGGG